rnacentral:tRNA from 1 species
GUCUUUAUAGUAAAAAUAUUAAUACAUUGGUCUUGUAAACCAAAAAUGGGAACAUAUUUCUCUUAAGACA